CAGUUAUCGUUUAUUUGAUAGUACCUUACUACUUGGAUACCUGUGGUAAUUCUAGAGCUAAUACAUGCUAAAAACCUCGACUUCGGAAGGGGUGUAUUUAUUAGAUAAAAAACCAAUGCCCUUCGGGGCUCUUUGGUGAUUCAUAAUAACUCAACGAAUCGCAUGGCCUUGCGCCGGCGAUGGUUCAUUCAAAUUUCUGCCCUAUCAACUUUCGAUGGUAGUAUAGAGGACUACCAUGGUUUCUACGGGUAACGGGGAAUUAGGGUUCGGUUCCGGAGAGGGAGCCUGAGAAACGGCUACCACAUCCAAGGAAGGCAGCAGGCGCGCAAAUUACCCAAUCCCGACACGGGGAGGUAGUGACAAUAAAUACUAAUUAGGAGCUCUUUUGGGCUUCUAAAUUGGAAUGAGUACAAUGUAAAUACCUUAACGAGGAACAAUUGGAGGGCAAGUCUGGUGCCAGCAGCCGCGGUAAUUCCAGCUCCAAUAGCGUAUAUUAAAGUUGUUGCAGUUAAAAAGCUCGUAGUUGAAACUUGGGUCUGGCUGACCGGUCCGCCUCACCGCGUGCACUGGCUCCGCCGGGCCUUUCCUUCUGGGGAAUCGCAUGCCCUUAACUGGGUGUGUUGAGGAUCCAGGACUUUUACUUUGAAAAAAUUAGAGUGUUCAAAGCAGGCAUAUGCUCGAAUACAUUAGCAUGGAAUAAUAGAAUAGGACGUGUGGUUCUAUUUUGUUGGUUUCUAGGACCGCCGUAAUGAUUAAUAGGGAUAGUCGGGGGCAUCUGUAUUCAACUGUCAGAGGUGAAAUUCUUGGAUUUGUUGAAGACAAACUACUGCGAAAGCAUUUGCCAAGGAUGUUUUCAUUAAUCAGUGAACGAAAGUUAGGGGAUCGAAGACGAUCAGAUACCGUCGUAGUCUUAACCAUAAACUAUGCCGACUAGGGAUCGGACGGUGUUAUUAUUUUGACCCGUUCGGCACCUUACGAGAAAUCAAAGUUUUUGGGUUCUGGGGGGAGUAUGGUCGCAAGGCUGAAACUUAAAGAUAUUGACGGAAGGGCACCACCAGGCGUGAACACAGAUACCAAAUCGCAACUCUGCGCCUCAAAGCAGCGCUUGUCCUUUGACGAGCGGGGUGGAAUGUCGUCCUUGAAAGAAACUGCUAUGGUCCAUAAAUCUCGAUUUUUGGGCUACACACUUAUACUGCGGGGAUACCCUAUGGCUACAAGGCACUUCCUCGGGUCGAAAGUCCCCGAGCACAGUAACAGUCUUUGGGCGUUUGUAUGGGUCAUCCGCAGCCGGCUUCCUAAGGCUCCCCUGCUAUGGAGGUUGGUUCAGAGAUUAGAUAUGUGUGGGCAAGAGGAUUGGAUCCUCUGGAUUGGGUAUGAUGAGAGAAACCUCAUUAACCCAAGAUGUCUAAGCUUUAAUCCAUCUAUUGAUGCCAAUCAGUAAGAGUAUUGGGAGCCUGCGGCUUAAUUUGACUCAACACGGGAAAACUCACCAGGUCCAGACACAAUAAGGAUUGACAGAUUGAGAGCUCUUUCAUGAUUUUGUGGGUGGUGGUGCAUGGCCGUUCUUAGUUGGUGGAGUGAUUUGUCUGCUUAAUUGCGAUAACGAACGAGACCUUAACCUGCUAAAUAGCCAGGUCAGCUUCGGCUGGCCGCCGGCUUCUUAGAGGGACUAUCGGCUCAAGCCGAUGGAAGUUUGAGGCAAUAACAGGUCUGUGAUGCCCUUGGAAUAUCUAGGGGCAAAUAACGAAGUGGGUUCCGUUGAGCCUGCCACGCUUUCAAAUUCUCAGCCGGCGAAAUGAUCAAUGCGAAUCAGCCGGAGUCUCCAGGUGCCUAUGACGCCUGGGGAUCCAGAGACUAGACGAAGGCGGGGACGCCCUCCGGGGAUGUCCUGUUGAUAUAGUCCAACGCUCGACGUCCCCGUCGAGACGAAAAGUGUAGAUGUUCUGGGCCGCACGCGCGCUACACUGACAGAGACAACGAGUACAUCACCUUGGCCGGAAGGUCUGGGUAAUCUUGUUAAACUCUGUCGUGCUGGGGAUAGAGCAUUGCAAUUAUUGCUCUUCAACGAGGAAUGCCUAGUAAGCGCAAGUCAUCAGCUUGCGUUGAUUACGUCCCUGCCCUUUGUACACACCGCCCGUCGCUACUACCGAUUGAAUGGCUCAGUGAGGCCUUCGGACUGGCCCAGGGAGGUCGGCAACGACCACCCAGGGCCGGAAAGUUCGUCAAACUUGGUCAUUUAGAGGAAGUAAAAGUC
rnacentral:rRNA from 1 species